rnacentral:rRNA from 1 species
AUUGAACGCUGGCGGCAGGCCUAACACAUGCAAGUCGCACGAGUGGCGGACGGGUGAGUAAUGUCUGGGAAACCGUCUGAUUGAUGGGGAUAACCCCUGGAAACGGUAGCUAAUACCUCAUACCAUCAGAUGUGCCCAGAUGGGAUUCGCUUGUUGGUGGGGUAACGGCUCAACAAGGCGACUAUCCCUGACUGGUCUGAGAGGAUGACAAGCCACAAUGGAAAUGAGAUACGGUCCAGACUCCGACAUGAGGCAGCAGUGGGGAAUAUUGCACAAUGGGCGCAAGCCUGAUGCAGCCAUGCCGCGUGUAUGAAGAAGGCCUUGGAAUUGUAGAGUACUUUCAGCGGGGAGGCGUUACCCGCAGAAGAAGCACCGGCUAACGCCGUGCCAGCAGCCGCGGUAAUAC